rnacentral:misc_RNA from 1 species
GAAAUGCGAUAAGUAAUGUGAAUUGCAGAAUUCAGUGAAUCAUCGAAUCUUUGAACGCACCUUGCGCUCCUUGGUAUUCCUUGGAGCAUGCCUGUUUGAGUAUCAUGAAAUCUUCAAAGUAAAUCUUUUGUUAACUCAAUUGGUUUCUACUUUGGUAUUGGAGGUCUUUGCAGCUUCACACCUGCUCCUCUUUGUUCAUUAGCUGGAUCUCAGUGUUAUGCUUGGUUCCACUGCGUGAUAAGUUAUCUAUCGCUGAGGACACUGUAAAAGGUGGCCAAGGUAAAUGCAGAUGAACCGCUUCUAAUAGUCCAUUGACUUGGACAAUACUUUUAUGAUCUGAUCUCAAAUCAGGUAGGACUACCCGCUGAACUUAAGC